rnacentral:rRNA from 1 species
AUACGGAGGAUCCAAGCGUUAUCCGGAUUUAUUGGGUUUAAAGGGUGCGCAGGCGGCCUUAUGAGUCAGUGGUGAAAUCUCCCGGCUCAACCGGGAAACUGCCAUUGAUACUGUAAGGCUAGAAUACAGACGAGGUAGGCGGAAUGUAGCAUGUAGCGGUGAAAUGCUUAGAUAUGCUACAGAACACCGAUCGCGAAGGCAGCUUACCAGACUGUAAUUGACGCUAAGGCACGAAAGCGUGGGGAGCGAACAGGAUUAGAUACCCGAGUAGUCC